CCCAAUUGGUGCCUCCACUCACGCGUUGUCUCCCUCGGUUCCUCUUCCAAUCCAUUCUCGCUGCAAGCACGCAAUCCUGCGACUCCGCCGUCUCCUUCGUCCAGUCGGUCGCCGCCGAUGCAUUGGCCAACUCCUCCACCAACAACGCCCUGUCGUGCUCGGAGCAGCCGUUGCGUCCCCAACUCAACUUCGACCGGUAGAGCUCCAGCCCUCCACCACCGCGCCCCUUCGUCGCGCUUGGGUGGGAACGAGUGCUCAAAAUCUCAUUUGGUAUGACAUUUCAGGUGUGUUGUUCUAGAGGCACUAGAUGCUGAUUUGCUACAAGAACUCCCAGCCUAACGAGGCUCGGCCUAGGUUGUGUCACCAUUGUUGCCGCUAUAGUGUAAUGGUGUCCGCUUGGACGAGGAGGCAGAAAACUGCAUUGGAUGUUUGAGGCAAGGUGGUAGUUCACUAUGGAUGCAUGCAUGGAUGGGACAUGUAAAGACUUAUAUGACUAAUGAUGAAUUCAUAGUGUCUAAGCGGGUAUUUGAAUUUAUUUGUAUGCUCGGACUUCUGUAAAUACACAGGCUACUAUUUUUUUAUGGAAGCAUAUAUUUAGCUCAGUUGUGAGAUUUGUUGACUGUUCUGAUCUGAAUGGUAUUUUGUUUCUGAUUUUUUUCUUUCAAUAUUGGAACUUAUAAA